GACGAACGCUGGCGGCGUGCUUAACACAUGCAAGUCGAACGGAAAGGCCCUGCUUUUGUGGGGUGCUCGAGUGGCGAACGGGUGAGUAACACGUGAGUAACCUGCCCUUGACUUUGGGAUAACUUCAGGAAACUGGGGCUAAUACCGGAUAGGAGCUCCUGCUGCAUGGUGGGGGUUGGAAAGUUUUGGCGGUUGGGGAUGGACUCGCGGCUUAUCAGCUUGUUGGUGGGGUAGUGGCUUACCAAGGCUUUGACGGGUAGCCGGCCUGCGGGGGUGACCGGCCACAUUGGGACUGGGAUACGGCCCAGACUCAUACGGGAGGCAGCAGUGGGGAAUAUUGCACAAUGGGCCGAAGCCUGAUGCAGCAACGCCGCGUGCGGGAUGACGACCUUCGGUUUGUAAACCGCUUUCGCCUGUGACGAAGCGUGAGUGACGGUAAUGGGUAAAGAAGCACCGGCUAACUACGUG
rnacentral:rRNA from 1 species